GAAAAGUGCCAAAAACGAGGGUUUGGAUGGUGAUCAUCAUCCAUUUUCUUCCUUAAAACAGAAAUGUUUGGUGGCAUCUUUAUCGACAAGAAGAAAGAAGGCAAUUCUUUGAAGGAUACUUGUAGGCGUUAUAAUAUAAUAAUUUAGUGGAGAUUUGAAGAAGAUGCUCAAGCUUCAAAAUGGCGCA